rnacentral:rRNA from 1 species
UACGAAGGGGGCUAGCGUUGUUCGGAAUUACUGGGCGUAAAGCGCGCGCAGGCGGUUCUUCAAGUCAGUGGUGAAAGCCCGGAGCUCAACUCCGGAAUUGCCAUUGAAACUGUAGAACUUGAGGAUGAGAGAGGUGAGUGGAAUUCCCAGUGUAGAGGUGAAAUUCGUAGGUAUUAGGAAGAACACCGGUGGCGAAGGCGGCUCACUGGCUCAUUUCUGACGCUCAGGCGCGACAGCGUGGGGAUCAAACAGG